rnacentral:rRNA from 1 species
CCUCAUUUGGGGUGCAGUUCACAGGCCCAAAUGGUAGUGGGCACUCCGGUGCUUAAGAUAUGGUCGAGUCCCAAUUGAAAAAUUGGGUACAAGUACUCUGAUUGAUUUAUAUACAUUCUAUGCUCAGUCGAAUACAGCUAGUUGUAAAUGCAAAUGUUCCGUAGGUGAACCUGC